rnacentral:rRNA from 1 species
AUCAUGUAUUCAAAUUACUAGGUAGUUUUGAUGAACAUGAAGUAUUGAGUUGAAAAACUCAAAUUGUCAAUAGUUGACAACCAACAUAUCUUUUCGCUUCAUACACUAAUGAGUAGGACUUAUUGAUGUAGUAAUUCAAGCAUGAAUUAAAGAAAGAUGGAACUUUGUUUUACGGCGCAUUAGAUGUUUAAUUAUCCCUAACAAAGUAUAAAAGUCAAAACACUUAAAGAAAUGGUUCUUAAAGUUAUGAGAUGAUGUAUGAUAAGAAAUAUAGGAAACAAGGAACAAAGAAAAGGGAUAAGAUUCCUAUUCUACCCAUGAGUUCAUGUUAUUGUAGUUAACUUAGCAACUUGUUAUCUUCACAAGUAUCGAAUACUGCUUGAGUGUUCCACUUUGAAAGUGACCUCAAACCAUUGAAGUUAAGUUAAGUUAUUGACUUACAAGCUUAGAAUGAAGCAAGAAGUGCUACAUCAGUUGUAAGGUCAUUUGUUCUGUUUAAAGACCUUUUAAGCUAAGGGUGGAACGAAUAAUGGUUAUUAUGUUCCAUAAUCAGCAAGCGAUCCAUUUACACACGGAAAGACUCACAUUCAAAGUAAAAGAGCAAUAGUUGCGGGUUUUAUUUGAAUGGAAUGGUUGUCUUAGCCAUGAGUCAAGAAUGCUAGAUUAUAAACAAACAUUUCCCUAACAUGAAAACUCACAAGGUUCAAGUCAUGGACAUGAUUUGUGUUCCAAACAUCUUUAGCAAUGUCACAUCGACAAGAACAUACUCAAGGCUCUAUUAGAUAGACUCUUGAUAGUUGAUCAAUUCGAAAUCGUUCUAUGGCAAGCAAGUCUUACUUGUUGAAAUCGACAAAGAAAGGAGCUAUUGUGCUUGGUAUAGACAAUUGACUCCGAAAGCUAAAGAGAAUUCCAUUACUUCAAUGUCUCACAAGAAUUUAAGAGAAUAUGGCUAUAUUCAUCAAAUGUGAACAAACUGGACCUUGAGUAGCUCAAAAGUUCAGUGAAGUAUAGAAUCGACUUGGCAAGAUAUCAAAACGUCUAGAUUUUUGCUUGAGCUAAGAGUGAUCAUAUCAAAGUUAUAAAAUUGGAAUUUCAUAAUGAGCUCCACAAAGAAUAUGGAAUGUCUUGAGGGAGACCUCGAUGCCAUGUGGAAAUGACUCGAAUGAUGAUUGAUCAUAUCCCUUCCUAUAAAGUUCUUAAAGAUUUUCACAAAUGACUAGUGUUACACUAAACAAAAUUAUCGAAGCUAAGAAAGGACACCAUAUUUAGUUAUGGAUAGAAAUAGUUUCUAGUGUCUUUUUAAGUAUAUGUCUAGGGCUCUUAGCUCAGUGGGAGUUCACUGGCUUAGUGGGAGCUAAGUGGCUCAAUAAGGGCUAAGUUAGCUCGAGUGGGAGUUAACUAUUUGUUUCACAACGAACUUUUACCCACAGACUAUAUACAUGUCUCUUUGUAAGCAUUUAAGUGAGACUACGGGCAUUAUUUCCACAACCUAAUUGAGAACAUAAUAUUUACUGCUCUAAGUGGUGUCUUUCUGGAAAGUAACACAUUUCCAAAAUGAUAAGUGGGAGGAAAAUGAACUCGAUGACCAUCGAGAUUAGCAACAAACUUAAACUGAGGAUCUCCGAAGACUUUAGAUGGAAGGGCUUCAUGGGAAUGAUUGAUCAAGAAUACUCAAAGGACUUCACAAGUGCCUUAAAUGAGAAUUCAGUCCUCACAAAACCUUAGAAGUGUUGGAGUAAGAUUAAUAUAAUCAAGGACUUUAAAAGCACCUUGAAACUCAGUGUUUGAUGCAAUUACCUCGUAUAGGUAUAGAAUUCACUAAAAGGCUUGGAUUGAAUCCUAUAAAUUUCUAUUAAGUUAGAAAUAAACCUAAGACUUACUGUUGGGUUUCGUAGUGUCCAACGCUACGCGGAAGAGAAACCCGCCCAAGACCCGAUCACUAAUUAAAGCAACUAAAUAUUUAAUCAAAUAAUUAACAACAUAAAAGAGAGAAAGAGAAAAGACAUUACCUUUGACGUGUGCUUCGCUCGAUUCACGAGCUCUUACUUCAAAACCCGAGCCUAGCAAGUGCGACAGCCUCCUAAGGCUCGCACCCUCGACUCGACCUGAAUGGUCCUAGUCCUGAAGGUUAGUCGGGACUUGACCAAUAAAAACUAGAGUACUGUUCCCUAGGAUUGGAUUUGGGCCUUUCCUGCGCAGCUUAGGUGGAAGGCAAAGGCCCCCUUCCGGGGGGCCCAAGCCAUCAGUGAGAUACCACUCUGGAAGAGCUAGAAUUCUAACCUUGUGUCAGUACCUACGGGCCAAGGGACAAUCUCAGGUAGACAGUUUCUAUGGGGUGUAGGCCUCCCAAAAGGUAACGGAGGCGUGCAAAGGUUUCCUCGGACCGGACGGAGAUUGGCCCUCGAGUGCAAAGGCAGAAGGGAGCUUGACUGCAAGACCCACCCGUCGAGCAGGGACGAAAGUCGGCCUUAGUGAUCCGAUGGUGCCGAGUGGAAGGGCCGUCGCUCAAUAAAUAAAAGUUACUCUAGGGAUAACAGGCUGAUCUUCCCCAAGAGUUCACAUCGACGGGAAGGUUUGGCACCUCGAUGUCGGCUCUUCGCCACCUGGGACUGUAGUAUGUUCCAAGGGUUGGGUUGUUCGCCCAUUAAAGCGGUACGUGAGCUGGGUUCAGAACGUCGUGAGACAGUUCGGUCCAUAUCCGGUGUGGGCGUUAGAGCAUUGAGAGGACCUUUCCCUAGUACGAGAGGACCGGGAAGGACGCACCUUUGGUGUACCAGUUAUCGUGCCCACGGUAAACGCUGGGUAGCCAAGUGCGGAGCGGAUAACUGCUGAAAGCAUCUAAGUAGUAAGCCCACCCCAAGAUGAGUGCUCUCCUAUUCCUACUUCCCCGUCACUGCCGAUAGCACAGCUGAGGCACUGACGGGUUCUCUGCCCCUGAGGGGUGAGCGACAGAAGUUUGGAAAGAGAAGGUCACGGCGAAACGAGCCGUUUAUCAUUACGAUAGGUGUCAAGUGGAAGUGCAGUGAUGUAUGCAGCUGAGGCAUCCUAACAGACCCACAGACUUGAAC